AUAUCUACAUAGAACUCUCUCUCUCUCUCUCCGUGAAAAAAAAGAACUCUCCUCUCCUCCCGUACGAUCCCCACCAGGCUCCUCAUACACAUCCGCCAUUUCUUCCGAUUUGCCGCCGGCGAAGGACGGCGUCUCUAUGCCCCAUCAGGAAACUAAUCCUCACGCUAUCCCAGAUCCACAUGUCACUUCUUUUCUCCUGAUUUUUCUUCCUUGGUGGUGGCACAUGUGGCUGGGUGAGUGCGUGGAUCUCGGCGAACUCGUCGACUCUGGCAACGCGGUCACGGAGAUGUCUAGUGGGAACGCGGGUUGUGCUGCUCAAACUUGUCGUGCCCGGAGGCUCUGGAUGUUGGGGCCGCGGAGGCAUUGAGGGAGCUCGCGGAGGAAGAAAUAUCUGCAAGACGUGAGUAUCUUCUGUGAGUGGCUGUUAGCUGUUGCCCUCCUGCUGCCCGGACUUCUACCAAAUCACAAAGGGCCACUUUGAGUCACUUGGUGACAUAAUGAUUAUAGGAGCAUCACCUGCAAACCUACCUUCAGUUUUAGCUCGUGGAUUGGAAUUCCUGGGAAGAUCAUGUUGCUAAGGAACUCUAUUGCACACAUAUUCUCCAUUGUGUUGUAAUUCAUUGUUGCCUUGCACACAGUGUCCAAGUAUAGGAUUGCUCUUUCUUUGAGAAGUUCACGGUUACGAUAGUUUUGCUGCAAGUUUGGAUCGUAAUAUCCAUUCUGCAAAUACGGCCACAUUUUGCUUUUCUAUUGGAUCUUCUGACAGACUUUAGCCGCAUGUUUUCAGUUAGUCUAAAUAUUUCGAAGUACUUCCAUAGAGUGUGCAUAGUAGAUUCUUCCAAUAGCGAAGCCCCUUUUCGGCUCCCCAAGUUUUGGUUUCGCUUUUCCAUACAAAUUUUGAUGGGAAUUCUGCAUAGUCUCUUGACUGGUGGAUCACGAUGGUGUGUAGAUCAAACUGGAAUAUCCGCCAGUAUGCUCCAGUUGUUGAUAUGUAUCUCAUCUCUAGGUACUUGAUUGACCUGGGCCUGUUGCACCACUCGACAUUUAUGUGACCUUGGAAUUGACCAAAAGGUUGUGGUUGUAUGGCCAAAAGUGCUUUGGCGUCACUUCUUCCGAGGUCGAUUGGAGUAGCUGGGCAUGGCUUCGUCAUGCGUUGAGUGUGCUUUGGCGUGACUUCGUCGGACGUAGAGUGAAGUGGCUGGAGGUGGCUUUGCGUAUCAAACGUCGAGUUGCCUAGUUGCGUGUGAUGUCUUCAAGCCAUCUGAGUUGCCGAGUCGCGUGUGAUGUCUUCAAGCCAUCUUGCUUGCCGACUUCCAAAUUUUUGGUGUUGCUUUUGCGGCCGGCUGUACUUGUUUAUAUAUGGGUGGAGGUGCGUGGGUUGAGGUGGCCGAGACCGUGAAAGAAGAUCGGAAACCUGUCUUUUUUUCAUGUCUUGGCUCCUGUUUUGGAACUUCCUCACGUGAGGUCUGGUUAGGUCCAAUCGUUGUCCUUAUUUGUUUAGGUUUCCUACUAUUUUUGCUUCCUUGACCCAUUGUUUAAAAGAUUUUUUUUCUGCGGGCUAGUUGACGAUUUGGAUGGAACCUAUGUGCACUAUUUGUACGUGGCAUGUUAUACUACUUGUACAUGUACAUAUUUUUACGUUACGUUUGCAUCUUUUAAUCUCAGCCGUUAAAAGAUAAAAUAAAGGAUCAAGAUAAUUUGAUC